GGGGUGAUGCCCGGGGGGGUAAAGGGGAAGGGCCGUUAAUUUGUUGACGGCUGUUUUCGGUGGUUUAAAUCCAGGUUGGCCCC
rnacentral:tRNA from 1 species